GUGUCAGCCGCCGCGGUAAUACGGGGGGAGCAAGCGUUGUUCGGAUUUACUGGGCGUAAAGGGCGCGUAGGCGGCCACGACAAGUCAGUUGUGAAAUCUCUGGGCUUAACUCAGAGCGGUCAACUGAUACUGUCGGGCUAGAGUGCAGAAGGGGCAACUGGAAUUCUCGGUGUAGCGGUGAAAUGCGUAGAUAUCGAGAGGAACACCUGCGGCGAAGGCGGGUUGCUGGGCUGACACUGACGCUGAGGCGCGAAAGCUAGGGGAGCGAACGGGAUUAGAAACCCCCGUAGUCC
rnacentral:rRNA from 1 species